GACGAACGCUGGCGGCGUGCUUAACACAUGCAAGUCGAACGGAAAGGCCCUGCUUUUGUGGGGUGCUCGAGUGGCGAACGGGUGAGUAACACGUGAGUAACCUGCCCUUGACUUUGGGAUAACUUCAGGAAACUGGGGCUAAUACCGGAUAGGAGCUCCUGCUGCAUGGUGGGGGUUGGAAAGUUUCGGCGGUUGGGGAUGGACUCGCGGCUUAUCAGCUUGUUGGUGGGGUAGUGGCUUACCAAGGCUUUGACGGGUAGCCGGCCUGAGAGGGUGACCGGCCACAUUGGGACUGAGAUACGGCCCAGACUCCUACGGGAGGCAGCAGUGGGGAAUAUUGCACAAUGGGCGGAAGCCUGAUGCAGCAACGCCGCGUGCGGGAUGAAGGCCUUCGGGUUGUAAACCGCUUUCGCCUGUGACGAAGCGUGAGUGACGGUAAGGGGUAAAGAAGCACCGGCUAACUACGUGC
rnacentral:rRNA from 1 species